rnacentral:rRNA from 1 species
GACAGAGGGUGCAAACGUUGUUCGGAAUUACUGGGCGUAAAGCGUGUGUAGGCGGCUAGGUAAGUCGGAUGUGAAAGCCCCGGGCUCAACUCGGGAAGUGCACUCGAUACUGCUUAGCUCGAGUACCGGAGAGGUUGGUGGAAUUCUCGGUGUAGAGGUGAAAUUCGUAGAUAUCGAGAGGAACACCGGUGGCGAAGGCGGUUCUCUGGACCGUAACUGACGCUGAGGCGCGAAAGCGUGGGGAGCAAACAGG